GCUUCAAGGGACUAUUAUGCACUGUAUAAUGCACAUAGUUUUGCAGUUUGGAUGAUGAGGAAAAUUCUACACCAGAUGCAACAAUUAUGGCAGCCAACACCAGUGGGUUAUCCUGCAAAAGAAAUACAUCAUAUUAUUUUCUUGAUCUGACAACAAAAUCAAUGGCAUUUCCAUUUCAGUUUAAUACAAAUUGCACACAAGGGUAACAUCCCACCAGCAUAGAUUAGAGAACCAUGGCAAAAAGACUGGCAUUCAGUAUCAGAAGUAUGAACUGGGAAAAUAUAAGGACCUGCACUCUAGUUUUGGCGAAAUGAAAUAGACCUUCCUUCUGGUUGAGAAAGACAGACACCUCCAUGACUUAACAGUGGAAGUGGAACAAAAUAAUGUUGUCAUUGAGAAACCUUUUACUAGUUUACCCAUCAUUUAUCCAAGUAUCUUUCGAAAGAAAUAGAUUCAGUUGAUAAGCAUCUUCCAGCUUAAGAAACAUAAUACCUAAGUAUCAGUGGUGAAGCUCUAAGCCAACCAAGGCAUGGAUAAAAAGAUACCA
rnacentral:lncRNA from 1 species